rnacentral:misc_RNA from 1 species
GAUGAAGAACGUAGCGAAAUGCGAUACGUAGUGUGAAUUGCAGAAUUCAGUGAAUCAUCGAAUCUUUGAACGCAUAUUGCACCUCUCGGUAUUCCGGGAGGUAUGCCUGUUCGAGCGUCAUUUGUACCCUCAAGCUCUGCUUGGUGUUGGGUGUUUGUUCCGCCUCUGUGUGUGAACUCGCCUCAAAACAAUUGGCAGCCGGCGUACUUGUUUCGGAGCGCAGCACAUUUUGCGAUCCAGAUCAACGUACAGCGGCAUCCAAGAAGCCUUAUUUAACGCUCUUGACCUCGGAUCAGGUAGGGAUACCCGCUGAACUUAAGCAUAUCAAUAAGCGGAGGA